UUAGGCAAACGGUUGUACUUGUUGGUAUUUGUGAGCGAUAUGUUCGAGCUACGUGCGGAAAUAUUCCCAUCUUUUUUCUGCACUGUUUUGUUUACUUGUCCAGUGAAAAAUGAAUGAUGCAAAUAUUGGUCAAAAGUUCUGAGUGCCAAAUACGUUCUUCCCUUGCCAUCGGUGGCUAUUUGAAUCCCGCUGUUUCUCGCUUUCUAACACGGUUGGUUUUGAUAAUCAUUCCGAUACUAUCGAAAUUUGCCCAAAGGGAGAAAAAAUCAACGAUUUCCAACACUCCAACGGGGGAAGUGUGAUAAGUUGGUGGAACCAACCCAGGUAGAGUUAAAUGGCUGCUACCGUCAGCUAAAACUUGAAUGCCGCCUACGAAUUUCUUGAAACCGAUAACAUUUAUUGACGUGGAUGAUCAGAAUGGGGCAACUUCCAGGAGCAUCCAUAAGACCUACAGGGAAAGGAAGUCUGGUGGUACAGAUCAGGCGGAAAAUCGUGGUCAUGCAACAACACAACUAACCUGGCAGUAUACUGAAUCAUCUCACAAACAAUUUUGUGGUUAGUGUAGUGUGAACAUCCAUGAAAUAAAUUCAUUUGAAUAGACAAUUGCAAUUUAA